AACGCUCUUAUAUUAGUUUACAGAGGGAGUAAUAGAUUGGCAGCAGAAGCACAAAAUGGUGAAAAUAGUUUGUUUGUUUUGUAGGAAAACUGAAAAUUAUUGUAGCCCAUCAUAAUAAGUUUAUAAGGUGUAGUACUGAUUGGAUAAAUGAAAAAUUCUGAACGAUAUCAAGGGUGUAAUGACUUGAAACAUUACAUGCGUGCAAAUAUGAUUUCUCAUCCCUCGUCUACUCUAUUUCUUACUCCACUUCCUUUAUGUACAUGAGAACAUAACUCAGAUUUUUUUUUUAAGAAAUGCUACAAACAAACAGGGCAGAGAAGCAUCCAUCUCAUGGGCAAUAUACUCUGUUCUCUGUAGGCAGCGGGCGGCAGCUGCUGGGCCUCAGGCUACCCGGCUGGUGCUACUACUUCUCGUAAGGCCGAGGAGGCUAGUUAGGCCUUGAGUUGCACGACGUGGAGGCGUGUUAAGUCUCGCGCGAACUCGAAAUAGCCUGCACUUCCAACAAAAGAUGAGCUGUGAGGUCUGCCAAUCGUCCCUACCAUCCGUUUCAGCUGUUGCAGGAAAAGGAUUCCACAUAUGAGAGAAGGAGGCUCACCAGGAAAGAAGCACUCCUCAACUCAGUUCACCCUGCCAGCGAGGAAGAGGUCCGUCUAACAGCUGGCUGCCGGCGGCGGCCAUUGCCGUCAUGCAGGGCGGGGCUGGUGGAAAGGAUGGUAGACUCAUCUCUGCCUGCGUUGUCCAUCACGUCGGUAGAAACCCAUCGCAGUCGCCAUGGGACUCCAAGCUCUCACAUCGGUCGGCACCUAGUUCGCUCGACCAUGGAGGCGCCGCCACGCGCGAGGCUGGCAGCGAACG
rnacentral:lncRNA from 1 species